GUAGACUCUUCUGCCAUGACAUUUGUGUCCGGAAGGCUGGACUGAAACCUCUGAAAUCAUGAGCAAAAGUCAAUCUCUCCUUCUGUAAAUCAUGUGGGUCCAAUCUUUGGUCCCAGUGGUGAAAAGCUGACGCAGCCCCUUUCUUCCUUGCCAUUUCAGAAUGCAAGCAAGGGGGUGACCGGGAACUGUGGCUGCAGCCACCACCUGGGGUGGCAGGAGGGGAUCGGACCACAUGAUCGGACCCUCGAAGACCCAGACUCAAAAUUCAAAGCGCAGUUUCUGUUGACCAAGUGACUAACUCGGAAGUUUGAUGCUGUGUGAGGAGAGAUCUCUCCAAAUCGGUUCCCGUUUGGUAUAAGAGGGGCUGAGUCCAGGGAAGUAUGAUCCAGACUCUUCUCAGCGUAUACAGAAAGGAGCCCUGAUGCUGGGCUCAGAAAGGGGAAGCAAGGAUGAGGAAGAGAUUAGGCCUGCAGGCUCCAGGUUUCCUGCCCUGGCCUUGGGCCUGGAAGACCAGAGGAUCAUUAGGUAAAUCAGGGCCACACCAAGGGCCAAAGGCACGCUUGCCCAAUACCCAAGCGGGAGCACCCUACCCUCUCUCUCCCCUGCCAGACGUCCAGAAGCUGCCUCUGUCAUGAACCCAUAGCUCCCAGGCAGGUACUAUUAGGGACAAUCCCUGAUGCUUGCAGUGGGGGCAAGCUGCUGUCUCUUUAAAUGACUGGUAACAUUCCAAGUUGUUUUGUUUUAUCUUAUUUUGUUUUAAAUAAGACCCUCUAGAGUAACCCACAAGGAACCAAUCAAAAUUGCUGAGUCACUCUGACUCACUCCUUCUUGGUAACCUAAAGUAAACUUUGCUUAUUAUAAUACUAUAUUUUUAAAGUUUUUUGAGACAGGGUCUAGCUCUGUAGUCCAGGCUGGCCUUGAACUCAUGACAAUCCUCCUGCCUCAGCCUCCAAAGUGCUGGAAGUACAGGUGUGCACCACCAUUUCAUCUACCGCUUUUUGAUCAGAGAUCUCGCCCAUCAGCGCUGUCUGUCACACAGGCCCGCCUCCCAAUACACGCGCUGCUUUCCUGUGUCCCAGAGAACUCCUGAGCACACACAGAGAAGGUUCUCAAGAAAGAGAUGGCUGAUCUGGGACAACGUUAGCUGGAGAUUCUGCUCAGGCUGGCUCUGCAGAAAGCUGAGUAAAAGAACACAGUGGCACCCUGGUCCAUGAACUUAAUUUGUUCUGUGAUUUUUGAAAAGAUGGCCACAUUCGUGUUCAUGCAGGAAAGAUGCCUGCGGUCAUGUUUGUCAC
rnacentral:lncRNA from 1 species